rnacentral:lncRNA from 1 species
UUUCACUUGAAAAAGGCCUUAAGAUAUGCCUUAAAGAAAGAAAGAAAGAAAUGGUGAGGUGUCUUCCAGGCAGCACUAAGGAAAACAUAACAUGUUUGGAAAUGAUUUCUGCUUUGAUGAUUUUAUACAUACAUAAGCAUGAACACUGUGAAAUAUGUGUUGGUCUUUUGGGAAAGAGGUAGUUGCUGUUGGACCAAGAGGACACAGAUAUUAAGACUAUGGAAUGAGUGAGAAUUUGUCACUAGUUGACUUUUGGGAAGAGAACCAGUAGCUUUAUAUAUCUGCAUGGCUGAGGCAGCUGGAAGCGUGGGGCUCCUGACAUUCUGUGACACGAUUGCAUUCUAUUACCGUGGUUGCAACUGCCAACAUUUACCUGCUUUUCGUGGGUGGCCCUGCCUCUCAGUUCCUGCUGGAGUCUGAGCUACAGGCAGUGCCUUCAGCCCUGGUUCUUGAUCCUUGUUUUUAAGGUUAAGGAUUCUUGAGUGUUGUGGGUGUUGGUCAUCUUUAUCUCAACGGUAAAUUAGUAAGUAUAAUUGCUGUCAUCCCUAGUCCUCAUCCAACCUAUUUGAUUUCAUUUGAUUUUAACCUCUUAUAUGUUUGGGGUUGUCUCCACAGUCUCUGGCUCUACCUCUUGCACCACGUACGUCAUCAUGGGAAUACCCAUCGACCCUUCUUGUCAUUCAAAGGCUGAAUUGAGUAUUUCAGAAACUGAACAGGAAUUGCGAUUACAGCUGGAGGAGAGUAAGGAGAAGUUUCAUGAACUCAAAGGACAUUUUCUUCUGUCUGAAGCUACUGUCUAUUCCAUGGCUAAUGAGCUAAAAAAACACAAUUGUCGAAAGUUCAAAGACAUUAUUGAGUCUGUUCUGGGCGAGAAGCUGCAGUACAAGGAAGAAAGUCUGGCUGAGAAGCUGAGCCUGGCCAAAAAUCAGAGGGAAUGCACUUUGCAAACUCAAGAUCAAGAUGGGAAGCUGUCCUUACUUCAGCAGAAAUUACAGCAGGGGAGACAUGCCUCAUUUCUCCUAUGUCAACAUCUCAAGGACAUCCUCACCCGGAAUGACCCUAAUACCAACCAGGGUCACUGCUUCCGUGAGCUACUGGCUGAAGGCGUCAGGCUGGCAGAGAACCUUGUGCAAUUGCUCAGUUCAGAUAAUCAUCAAGAUGAGGAGUGUAAAAAGGAACAUGAAUUACUGUCCCCCAGGAUGAACCCUGAGGGCGCAAACAAGGAAAAAAUUGAACAAAUACUGCAGGACUCACUGCUUGGAGACUUUACGCCUUCCUCCCAUGGCUGCAGCUUGUGUAACACCGAGGAGCCUCCUCGGACCACUGGCAAUCUGACAGAUGAACGUGAACUCUCCUUUUUCCUAGAAAAAAACUAUCCUCAGGAUGCUGAGAACCAAGACAAAGAGGCAGAGCCAGUGGAGCCCAGGUUUCUCCAAGAAAAGGAGGAUAAAAAUAAUGUACUGCAGGAGAAAAUGAAUGAGAACUUGUUGGCUAUUUCCCAUUGCCAGGACUUGUGUGUUUCCCACCAGCCUGGCAAGAGUCCAGCACCCGAGACUGAGGAGCAUGUAGCUCCCUCCAAUCUGAAUGUGACAAAAAACCAGGACAAUGAAGACAAUGAAAAAGAACAGGAAUUUCUGGCCCUCAGGCUGAGCACAGAGGGAAUGGAAAAGGAAAAAAUAACCGAACUCCUUCAAGAUUCAUUAGGUGAAGGCCCUAAGACACGCACCCGUCACUACAACUUACCUGACAACCAGGAGCCUUGCUGCACUGCAGCUGUGCUGGCAGAUGCACAUGAAGUCUCAUCAUCUCUGGAUGCAGCGCAAAAUACCCAUGAUUAUAAGGAUGAAGACCCACAACCAAAGGCCUCCAGGAAAUAUUUUGGCAUAAUUCAGGCUCAUGCCAAGAAGCUGUCCCAGCUACGAAAGCAGCUAAGUGAAGCGAAAGAUACCUCUUUGUCCCUUGGACAGCAUCUGGAAUUUCUACUCACCCAAGAUGACGCUGAAGGCUACCAGGUUCAGGGCCACAUACAACAACUGGCCCAGGGGUGCAAGAUGGCUGAGAAUCUUGUCCUGAAGCUCAGUGAAGGAAAUAAUGAACAGGGAAAUAAUGGAAAAGAAGAAAAAGAACUUCUUUCUAAAAUGGAUGAUGAGGAUGGGGAUUUCAAUUUUCUAAUUGAAGUUCAGGCUCAAGACCUGACUAAAUUUAGGCUGAAGUUGGAGGCAGGGAGAGAGACAGCCUUUAUGCUCCAUCAGACUCUCAGCAGUCUCUUCCCUGAAGAUGACCAACACGGACACCAGAUGCAGAGUCACAGAGACAGACUUGCUGAGGGGUGCAAGCUGGCCAAGUGCCUUGCAUGCAGACUUAGCUCAGAUAAUCUAGACGAGGAGAAUGAGGAUGAUCAAAUGAUCCUGGAUUCCAGUCUGUGCGAAGAGGAAGAAGGUGAACUUCUGCCACAUCCACUAGAUGAAAAGUACUUGCUCCCUACCUGUCAUCCUGAUGUGGCUGAGCCACAGGAAUGUGCAGGCGGCGAUGCCUCCCCAUCACAGAAGCCUGAACAGUACUCUGCUCUGGGUGGAUCCGCUACUAUGAAGGAGGCCUGUGCCCAAGGUCUGUCGAAUGGAGAAUUCAGCUCCCACUUCUCAGAGCUGCAAGCUUCCCAGGCACAGGUGGAAUCACGCAUCCAGGGGAACCCUCGUCUGGGAAUACAGCUGUGUCAGUACUUCGACUAUCCUGACUGCAAAGCCAGGCUGAGCCUUUCUUCUGCCACUUGGGGCUUUGCAGCAUCCACUCACUGUGGUAGCCAGUGCCAGCCCUUCCAAGAGCUGAAUUUGGAUGCUUCUUUUGGAAUCAAGGGUUCUCCCAAGCUGGAGGGUUAUGCCUUUGAAGGAUCAGCAGCUGUCAUUCGUGGGUUUCCGAUCCAUGGCCUCUGUGAUACUGACAGUGUCCUGAAGCAGAAGAUUAUGAAAACUAAACUCUGGCUGUGCAAGUGGAAAAGAGCUUGCAGAGUCCCAGGCCUUCAGCUGAAGAUGGGUAUUUCCCGUGGAAUGAAUAAUUAUUACAAGCUGGAAAGUGAUGCCUGUGCAGGCUCAGCUGCCAUCAUUCACAGGUUUCCAAUCCAUGACCUUUAUGAUGCUGACAGUGUCUCGAAAGAGAAGAUCACCAAGAAAGAACUACCAUUAUGCAAGUGGAAAAUAGCUUGCAGAUUUCCAGGACUUCAUGCUUAAGAGUGAAGAUACUGAGAAUGGCUGAAAGGAAGAAAAGACAUUGCUGAAGAAGAGAACUGAAACAUGAAGCCUAGUUUUUCCACUUCAUCAAAAAAAAUAGAAAACAGAAACUCAAUUUAAAGUCUGAAGAGAACACUGGAGUGAUUCCUUGUGAUCACUGAAUUUCAAAGCCCCUAAUUUCUCUUGAUGGUUUUCACUCCAACAGCCCAGUUGUAUUGGAUAAAUUCCAAUUCCUUGCCUCUGAUUUUGUGAAAUACCUGUGAAGAUUAAGACCUAAAUUUACAGAGCCAACAGAGAGACCUUAUUUCUGGUCCACUUAAUUCCCACUCUGCAUAAGACCAAAGGCAACAGCAGCUGGAUGAAGACAGCAAGGCCAGGUGGGCACUGCUUCCCACUGUGAUGCGUUAUGAGCGGGCAGUUGUAGCUAUGCAGUGUUUUCCUGAGGUGCUCAGCCUGGGUGUAACACAAGGAAACUGUCAGACAGAUGAAUAGUGUAGACCUAUGACCAGGAGAGCUGACAGCUUUUCCUCAGUCCAUGUCACCACAAGUACAGGACAAAAUGAAGAGGAGACACUUGCUUUUGAAAAACAUCCAUCACAUAUAUAUGUACAGUGGUACCUGGGUUCAUGAACUUAAUUCUCUCUCUGAUUCUGGUCACCAGCUGAAUUGGAUGAGGACCAAAUCAAAUUUCCUUAUAAGGUUAACAUUGAACCUGACUGCUGAAUUUGAUUUGGUUCUUGUCCAAUUCAGUUUGCAGCCAUAAUCGUGGAAAGAAUUAAGUUCAUGAACCGAGAUACCCCUGUAUAUCUUAUUUACUCAAAAAUAAAAUCUAGCCAGGAAGGAGUCAGCCUUGGGAACUAGAGAUCACAAAUGCCAGCCCCAAUCAGCUUAUCCUUGCCUUCGCUGCCUUCACUAUUCUCUUGCUCCAUGGCUGCUCCGGAAGGCAAGGAUAAGCUGAUUGGGCUGGCAGUUUUGAUCUCUAGUUUUCAAGGCUGAUUAUUUUCUGGCCAGGUCUUAUUUUCAGGGAGAAAAGGUAUGUUAGUGCUUUUGAAACGCAAACCUCUCCUCUCCUUUUUGUCCUCACAUUUGUAGGUGAAAUUGACUUGUGUGUAGAGGACAGGUCAGUUGUUGUCUGACUCCUGGCCUAUAUUUGGCUGCUGUGUGACUAUUUCUUCGGGAUUAAACUCAGCCUAAACAUAUAGCCAAAAACACCAGGCAGCAAGCACACAUAGUACCCCACACUUCCUGCCACUUUCUGCCUGCAGGCAGUGUCCACUUUGUAUAUCGCCCUUUACUUCCUGUUGGCUCUGGUCACCUGGCAAAGGAGGCAUCCUCUGGAGCUGUCCAGGGGGUAGACACAUUGUGCCCUCAAUAAUUCUGAAGCGGUUUCUAGGCAGCUAUUUUGAGAAAGUGAAAAACAUCUUAUUUUCCAGUGGUUUUUCUUUAAAAACGUUGCCAGCUUAUAUCGUCGCUACCUGCAUAAAUUGUUAUACCUGGACAUAUCCUGGCCAUUGGGUAAUUCAGUGUUUCCUGUUUAUCAGUUUUCUGGCAUUCUGAUAAAAAACCCCACCGUCUCCUUGAGUUUUAAUUUUAAUCCAAAGCUGAUAUUCACAUCAAUAAUUAAAACAUUUUUGUUUUUCAGUAUGGACUCAUGGAUGUUUUUAUAUUCAAUGUUAUAACAUUUUAUUACUACUAUCAAUUUGAUGAAUAAGGGUAAAAAUCAAUAUAAACUCUGUCAUUUUACUACUUGGAGUCUACAUUCUUCCAUAUCUUUUAAAUUGCAUUUAUUAUAUGUGAUAGAUUAUAUUACUUGUAGUUCUGUCUUUUUGUUAUUUGUGUGUGUUCUGUUUGGCAUUUAGGAAAUAUUGUUUAGCUCAUUUUUAACAUUAGUGUAAAAUAUCUUUGACAAUUUUAGUUUCCUUUACCUGGAAAAUAUCUAAUAUGUGGCUUAUGAAUUUGACAUGAUAUUUUUCAAACUCAAAGGUUGAUGGUCAGUGACGUUAUUCAUUAUCUUCAUUUCUACUCACUAUAUCUGCCACUAGAGUGUCAUUUCACCCAUUCAAAUAUAUUCCAAGUACAUUUUUCC